GACGAACACUGGCGGCGUGCUUAACACAUGCAAGUCGAACGGAAAGGCCCAGCUUGCUGGGUGCUCGAGUGGCGAACGGGUGAGUAACACGUGGGUGAUCUGCCCCUAACUUCGGGAUAAGCUUGGGAAACUGGGUCUAAUACCGGAUAGGACAAUCGUUUAGUGUCGGUUGUGGAAAGUUUUUUCGGUUAGGGAUGAGCCCGCGGCCUAUCAGCUUGUUGGUGGGGUAAUGGCCUACCAAGGCGUCGACGGGUAGCCGGCCUGAGAGGGUGGACGGCCACAUUGGGACUGAGAUACGGCCCAGACUCCUACGGGAGGCAGCAGUGGGGAAUAUUGCACAAUGGGCGCAAGCCUGAUGCAGCGACGCCGCGUGGGGGAUGACGGCCUUCGGGUUGUAAACCUCUUUCGACAGGGACGAAGCUUUGGUGACGGUACCUGUAUAAGAAGCACCGGCUAACUACGUG
rnacentral:rRNA from 1 species